rnacentral:rRNA from 1 species
GACAGAGGAUGCAAGCGUUAUCCGGAAUGAUUGGGCGUAAAGCGUCUGUAGGUGGCUUUUCAAGUCCGCCGUCAAAUCCCAGGGCUCAACCCUGGACAGGCGGUGGAAACUACCAAGCUGGAGUACGGUAGGGGCAGAGGGAAUUUCCGGUGGAGCGGUGAAAUGCAUUGAGAUCGGAAGGAACGCCGGUGGCGAAAGCGCACGACUGGACCUCUGCUGACGCUGAGGCGCGAAAGCCAGGGGAGCAAACGGG